UUUACCAUUCUGUCUAAAUAGGCUAUAUGGUUUGCAAACCAACUCGGAACGAAGAAGAGAGAGAGGAGAACGAAAAGGGAUAGAGAAACAACAGUUGAUGAAAGGCGGGAUUGAACACACUAGAGAGGAUGUUUCUCGUUGGGGUUGAAUCAACUCUCAGGCCAAGAGAACAUACCUCGCCUAAUAGACUGGAGGAGGUGUCCUUUCAUGGGGCUUCUUUGGCGAUCGUGAAGUCACCGGAUGAAUUGCCGAGUAGAUAGAUCUGAUCCGGACGCGGAUGUUGCUCCACGGCGAUACGGACUCGACCCGUUCCUACCCACCCCGGGGCACCAUAGCAUGUCGGGAAGAAGGGGGGUCUUUAGUAAAACUUCAUAUGCUCCAUAAAUCAAUGGACAAACCACAAUAAAAUUCCUAUUCUAGAGAAACAGAGACAACAAAGAUUCAAAACCUCUCUGACCAUAAUCUUAAGUUAGUUCGAAGCCUAAAAUCUUUAGUGUUGUUUUAAAAUUUCUAACCACAUUUUACAUUUGUAUUAAUGUAUUCUAAACUCUCUUUCAUGGUACAUGGGCAUCUAUUUUUUUUUUUUUAUCAGUUACGGGCCCCUUUACCAUUCUGUCUAAAUAGGCUAUAUGGUUUGCAAACCAACUCGAAACAAAGAAGAGAGAGAGGAGAACGAAAAGGGAUAGAGAAACAACAGUUGAUGAAAGGCGGGAUUGAACACACUAGAGAGGAUGUUUCUCGUUGGGGUUGAAUCAACUCUCAGGCCAAGAGAACAUACCUCGCCUAAUAGACUGGAGGAGGUGUCC
rnacentral:lncRNA from 1 species